GCUGCUGCCCACAAACUUCACCCACAGCAGACAUGACUUUGACCACCAUCUUCAUAUGGACUCUGAUCUUCUGGACUCGAGGAUCCAGAGGUCAGGCGACUGUGACUCAGACUCCUGCAGUGAAAUCUGCUCUUCCAGGAGAAACAGUCACCAUCAGCUGUAGGACCAGCCCUGCAGUGUAUAAUGACGAAUUGGCUCAGCGUUUAUUCUGGUACCUGCAGAAACCUGGAGAAGCUCCUAAACUCCUGAUCUACCACAUUACCAACAGAGCAUCAGGGGUUCCAGCUCGUUUCAGUGGCAGUGGGACUAAGACUGACUUCUCUCUGACCAUCAGUGGGGUCCAGACAGAAGAUGAUGGAGAUUAUUACUGUCAGAGUUAUCAUUGGAUCAGUAAUACAAACCUGUUCACACAGUGAUACAGAGCCGUACAAAAAGCUGUGAG